CCUACGGGGGGCUGCAGUGGGGAAUAUUGGACAAUGGGCGAAAGCCUGAUCCAGCCAUGCCGCGUGUGUGAAGAAGGCCUUCGGGUUGUAAAGCACUUUCAGUGGGGAAGAAAGCCUUGGGGCUAAUACCCUCGAGGAAGGACAUCACCCACAGAAGAAGCACCGGCUAACUCCGUGCCAGCAGCCGCGGUAAUACGGAGGGUGCGAGCGUUAAUCGGAAUUACUGGGCGUAAAGCGCGCGUAGGCGGUCUGAUAAGCCGGUUGUGAAAGCCCCGGGCUCAACCUGGGAACGGCAUCCGGAACUGUCAGGCUAGAGUGCAGGAGAGGAAGGUAGAAUUCCCGGUGUAGCGGUGAAAUGCGUAGAGAUCGGGAGGAAUACCAGUGGCGAAGGUGGCCUUCUGGACUGACACUGACGCUGAGGUGCGAAAGCGUGGGUAGCAAACAGGAUUAGAUACCCUAGUAGUC
rnacentral:rRNA from 1 species